rnacentral:lncRNA from 1 species
CUACAUUGUUAGUGGAACUGAAAGUUAAUACAACUACUUUGGAAAGCAACAUGAAAAUUUCUCAAAGACUAGAAAUAAACCCACCACAUGACCCAGCUAUCCCACUCCUUGGUGUUGACUCCAAAGAACAUGCAUACCAAUCUUUAUAGCUGAGCAGUGCACAAUAGUCAAGUUAUGGGACCAGCCUGCGUGUCCCCCAAUAGAUGAAUGGAUAAAGAAAAGGUGGCAUAUAUACACAAUGGAUAUAAAGAAGAAUGAAAUUAUGUCAUUUUCCAGUGGAUGAAUGGAAUUACAGAAUAUCUCCCAAGGGAAAUAAGACAGACUCAGAAAGUCAAGGACCAAAUUGUUCUCUCAUAUGUGGAAGCUAGAGAGAAGUAAGGUAUUUGUUAAAGGUGAUCUCAUGAAAACAGAAGGGGGAAAACAGUGUGGUAGAGGAGGGAGAUAGAGGAGGAGGGAGUGGGGAGGGGAAAGGGAAGGAAAUGCAUACUGACAUUGACAAAUUAUACUAUGUGCAUGAAUGUAUAUAUCACAAUGAAUUCUACCUUUACACAUAAGCACCAAUUACAAACAAAAAUUAACCAAAGGAAGACCAAUAGAGUAGUGGAAAGAGAUCAGGAGGAGGGAGGAAUAGAGGGAAGAUGGUAGUAUUAGAGAUUGAAAUGGAGCAAACUAUGUUAUGGGGAUUUAUGAAUAUGUCAAAAUGAGCCCCAUAAUUAUAUAAACCAAAUGCAUUAAUAAAAACAUAAAUUUAGGGCUGGGGAUAUGGCUCAGUUGUUAGAGUGCUUGCCUAGCAUGCACAAGUCCUUAGGUUCAAUCCCCAGCACUACCAAAAAAAAAAAAAAAAAAAAAACCCAUAAAUUUAUAGAAAGAAUUUUUGCUUUCAUGAGUUUAAAGACUGCAUAGAAAUCUAACAUUCACCUCUUAAAACGGACUUCUCUUUGAAAAUCACUUGUUCAAAUGAGACAAUUAAUUUGUUUCUUGUUCUAAGUUAUAGUAUUCCUGUGCUUUGAAAUUUUUAAAUUUUGAUUUAUGAAGAUUUCAUUGAGUUAAGUGGCAUGUUAAGGUAGCAUAUAAAAUAAAAACCACAUAACUCUUUGCUUUUUCUUUCACGACAAAACAAGUGAUUUUGAUGAAGUGAUUUCCAAGAGUCAGGCUCUAUAAUCUCCAAAUGUUGGCUGCUUCUUGACAUGCUUCAUUCUUUUGGCAGCUCCUCUGGGUAAACUAUAUCUGACUCUCUCUGAGUCCUCUCAUUUACGUCAGUUAUGAGUUGUGUGUGAAGACCAAUUGCAGCAAACACUUUCUGUUUUUCUUCCGUUCCAAGGAAUAGACAAGAUAUUUGGACAGCAUGAUUAAUGAUGAAGUCAAAUUAUUUCAUCCCAUGAAACAUGAUGAAGUGUCCAAACUGCAGCCACAGAUAUUCUGGGUUUUCAGAUUUGAGUAAGUAGGCAUUCAACCAAAAUUGAAUUUCAUUUCUUGAAAGCUAGCAGGUGCAUGCAUGUCCACUAAUUUCAUUUUGGUAAUAUUCUAAAUUAAUUUAGAAAGAGAAACCUUUAAAACGUGAACAUUGUGUUUUUGAAAUCAUUUCAAAUAUAUAAAAAUUGUAAAAAUAAUACAGUGUCUGUGAAUCCUUUACUCAGUUCCAAACAUUUUUCAUUACCUGGUGCAUUUGUCAAAUCUAAGAAACAAAUCAAUGUUGGUCAUGCACAUUACUCUUUGAACUAAACUCCAGACUUGAUUCAGGCUUCACUAGGUUUUCCAUUAAGUCCCUUUUCUGUCUCAGGAUGCAAUCUAAGUUAGUUGCCGUGUUCUCCAUAUUUUUGUCUAGUUCGUAAUAGUUUCUCAGUCCUUUCCUAUUUUUCAUAAUCUUCACAGUUUUGUAGAAUGCUGCUCAGCUACUUCAAAUUCUUCAAUUUGGACUUGAAUAUUUUUUUUUCAUGAUUAUACAUCAGUUAUGAAUUUUUGGAAAGAAUAUCAAAGAGUGCCUUUCUUAUGACAUCAUGCCAGUGGGUAUGUGACAUCCUCAUGACACCAUACUGAAGGUGUUAACCAUCAUUUCUUGCUAAAGCGGUAGUUUUUCCUGUUUCUCUCCCUGGGGAAGUUACUAUUUUUUCAGAAUUUGGCACUUCAAGACAACGUAACAAACUAACCAAUGCCACAGAAGAGAGUUAUGCUGUUGUACCUCAGUUUCUUUAUUUGUAAACUUUACCUUCCAUAAAGAUAAUAGUAAUGUCUACUUCACAGGGUUGUUUGAAGACUGAAUGAGUCAAUAUUUGUAAAGCACUUAGAGGAGCAUAAAAUAAAAGCUUUGUACCUUGGGUAGGUGCAGAGGGUUAGUAAAUCGCUCAGGGUUUGUGGCAACUAAAUAUAGGAAGCAGCUUGUUUCAUAUUUACCCAGAAUCCUGUAAGCCCUUAUAAUUUAACUACUAUGUUUGUUGAGGAAAAAACAGAUGUUAAGUUUUCUCCCUAGACAGAGGAGAUAUAAGAAGAAAAAAAAAUACCUCUGCAUGCCUUUCUGACUUCACAACUUAAUAAAACCAGCACAUAUUGCAAGUACAAUUAGAAAACAAAAAAAAUUUCAAGUUUUCAAUAAUUACUUUCACAUUUGUAGACAGUUUCCCAUUAAAUCCCAGUAAAAUAGUAACCACACAAAUUCUCAACUACUCAUGAACUAGUCACAAAAUUAUGACCUUUAGAUUACUUCUCAUUUCCUUCUCCCUGAAACAAACUUUAAUCUCUUUUUACUUUUCUGGGUUUUUUUCCCCCAGGAUCACAGUGAUAAAUACUAGAGUGAUUUUUUAAAUAGUCAUUCAUUUUGUACAUCUUUUUCAAUAAAUGAGUCUUUUAUUCAAACUCUUUUUUAGUAGAUGAAAUGAUUGAAAGUGGAAUCACAAAAUCAAUGAUUCAUCUUAGCAAUAAAAAAUAAAAUCCCAUCUAUGUGCAUCUCAUAAUAGAGCACACAUAUGCCUUCCUUGAUGAAAGUCUGAAAUAUAUUUUUUUGUAACUCUCAAUUGAUUUUUAAAAGUUUUUAAGUGUGUAGCGCUGACUACAGCAGGAAACUGCUGAAGAGGUUACUUUGCCUUUCUACUUUCGUUGAGUCAGUGCAUUCUGGGUAUCCUUUCUGUCAAGAAAUUAAUCAGGGACAUGGGGAAAUUUACUGACAAGGACUCAACCACAAAUACUAUCUAUAGUGUUUAAGCACAACAUGUCAGCACAUGUAUUCCACUGUACACCAAAAUUAUUGUGAUAGCACUGUCUCCAAUUAGCACCAGUACCAAGGGCAUUCUGGACACCCAGAUGAUGGUGGUUUUAUGAACUUUAUUCUAGGAUCUGCCUUGAUGUCUAACAGACACAUUGCUACUCCAUAUGGUGUUGUAUGCAGUUAGACACAGUUGGGGUCAGCAACUGAUAUAGAAAAUUUUGAAUGUGAAAAGGAAAAUUGGGGAAUGAACUUAUUUUUUAAAAUGUCUUCAAAGAAGGAUUCACAACAGGUUGAGUUUCUGUUUGGGCAAUAUUGGAAAAAACUGUUCCCACUUUAUUUAACAAACAUUUAUAAGGCACUUAAUCCAUGCCGGUGCUUUACGAAUGUUGACUCAUUUUUCAUAACCACCUUGAGGGAGAAACAAAGAGGUUUAACAAAUUGCAGGUGAUAUGGGAAUUAUGUGCAGCUAGAGCUACUUGCCCGGUGGUUGACAGGGGGCACCUGCUAGUGUCUGUUGAGCUGGGCAGUUGGAAACCCUGUCCUGCAGACCUGUGCCUGUAGGGCAGAGGCCAUUAAGUUUCUCCUCUCCCUGCUCCCAUUGUAUUGUAUUUCAGGUUUCUGUGAUAAAGAUCUGAAUACAACUUGGAGAAACAAACUCACGCCCUGCCCUGCCCUGCCCUCUAAAACCCAGUGAUGAAAAAGUUCUCUAAAACUCCUGGAGAAAAAGCGAUCAGAGAGAGUCAGGUUGAAAGAAUUUUAACCUGGAAUGAUGGUGCAAUGUGAUGAUCAUUACUAUCCAAAGACACCAAUUGGUGUGAAUAUACUAUGUGUACAACCAGAGAUAAGAAAAAUUGUGCUCUAUACAUGUAAUAAGAAUUGUAAUGCAUUCUGCUGUCAUAUUUAAAUUAAAAAAUUACAUAAAGAAAACAAAGAAUUUGAAAUCGCUCAUCAGAAAACAGAGACGUGUUUCUAGA